UAUAGCUUGAUAUCUGGUAUUAUGAUACCUCCAAAUUUGUUACUCUUUCUCAAGAUGGCUGUGGCUACUCGGGCAUCUUUUCUGGUUCCAUAUAAAUUUUUGGAAUAUUUGUUAGA